rnacentral:rRNA from 1 species
AUGGUCCGCCGCAAGUUCCGGCUGUCCGACAUGAUACCCAACGCCUGGUUCUACAAGCUCCGCGACAUGGGCGCCCACGGACGCGGCGGCGUCGGGGUGCAUCAUCGGUCCUCGUCGGCUCGGUCCUACCAGCAGCCGCCGCUGAACUGGGAGUCGUCGGCUCGGUGGAGCGUGGAGGCCGUGCGGCAGCGGCCGUCGUCCCGGUGGAACAGGGAGGUAAGCAACGACAUCCAGCCGCCGGUCACGCCGACGAAGGAGUCGCCCCAUGCCCCGCUCCCUCGCAGGGCGUCGUACUACUACUCCUCCAGAGACAGGGAUGUCCCGGCGCCGCCGGCUCCGAAGCCGCCCAGGGCCAAGGAAGCGCAAUCGCCGACGAGGAGCUCCAGGAGGCGGCACAAGGUGGACCACGCGCCUGAAGAAAGAGGACACGCCCGGGGGAAGGAGCCCGUGGUCGGCUCGCUAGGCAGCUCUGGUCGGCGUCGUGACAUGUGCAUCAAGAGUGACGGCGGUGAGCCCCGGAGGCCAACGGUGACAGGCCCGGGGGACGAAGGCCGCAACGUGAAGGUGAUCGCGUCGCAGAACGAAAUCAUCAUCGACCUGCGGGACGAGGACACGCCCGGGAGAAGGCUCCGGCCAAUCGUGACCAAGCCGGCGAGGAGACGGCCUGGGCCGAGCGAGCAGGAUGGCAGCCAAGCCGACCUCGCCGUCGCGACCGCGGGAGCGAGCUCUGCCUCCGACAAGAGCAGCGCCAGCAGGCCGAGGCGUUCUUCCGCAUCAUCGUCGGGCCGCCGCCGCCUCAAGACGCUCUCCAAGAGCCCGCGUCUGGCCGCCACCGGCAGGAAAGUGAACCCGCCGUCCCGGAAAUGGGCGGCACCACCGCCAUCGCUGCCGGCGCCGGUGAUCGUGAGCAGCUACCCGGUGGUGAAGAUGUCGGAGGACCCGCGGCAGGACUUCCGCGAGUCCAUGGAGGAGAUGAUCAGCGCCAAGCGCAUCCAGGACGCGGAAGACCUGGAGGACCUCCUGGCCUGCUACCUCUCCCUCAACGACGCGGCGCACCAUGACCUCAUAAUCGACGUCUUCGAGCAGAUUUGGGUGAGCCUCGCCGGCGCCAGGCCGUGA